CAGCAGCCGCCGCGGUAAUACGAAGGGUGCAAGCGUUACUCGGAAUUACUGGGCGUAAAGCGUGCGUAGGUGGUGGUUUAAGUCCGUUGUGAAAGCCCUGGGCUCAACCUGGGAAUUGCAGUGGAUACUGGAUCACUAGAGUGUGGUAGAGGAUAGUGGAAUUUCCGGUGUAGCAGUGAAAUGCGUAGAGAUCGGAAGGAACAUCUGUGGCGAAGGCGACUAUCUGGGCCAACACUGACACUGAGGCACGAAAGCGUGGGGAGCAAACAGGAUUAGAUACCCCGGUAGUCCCUGUCUCUUAUAU
rnacentral:rRNA from 1 species